GUGGCCAAAGAUUAUUUUUUUUAAAACUUCCAAGAACGGCAUUAGUAAAUAACCGGAUCUUAAAAUUUGGAGGAGUACUCAACUGCAAAACAAAACUUUCAAAAUUUAACUAAGACAAGAGUCCAAAAUUUUCUUAGAACAUUUAAGAACAAAUGCAAAUGGUUGAAAUUGAGUUCUAAAUCUUGACACAAGUAAACAAAACUACCUGAAAUCUUUUGAAGGAACAUCUGGAGUGAAAUAAAUUCUUGAUGAUUCUAUAUGAGGAUUUCUAAAUUAGAGAAAAUGGCCAGAGUUUCUCUCAUGGAUCCCAGAUGGGAGGCUGAUAUUUUUAAGAAAGUUUUAAGAAAAAGUGCAGAUGCUAGAAGUUAAGGUAUAAAUCAUCAUAACAGAAAACAGAAACACCUGAGAAGUUUUGGAGAAAGAUAACUAAAGUGAAAUAAGUUUUUGAUGAUUUUCUCUUGAGGUAAGAGAGAAAAGAUGGCCAGAGAUUCUGUCAUAGAUCUGGGAUGAGAGACAGCUAGGCUUUUUCCCCAGUGGAUGUGAGAUGCUUUCACAGCUAGGGUAUCUGGGGAAGAAAAGUGUGAGAGAGAAGAUCCAAAAUAAGCGUUCUCAUGCAAAGCCGCCAACACUGGAGUUAAAUCAACCCAGAAUCAUUCGUGUUGUCUUCCUCCAUCCAUGAUCUUUCCAUAGCAAACCUCGGUGCAGUCCAAAAUGCACAAGAUGAGAACCUAAUGGACCGAAAUGAGGGUUCUCUCGCAUAAAGUAGGAGAGAAGAACCGGACUAGAAACUGGGGAAAAAAGAAGGGAUGAAACAUGGAAAUGAUAGAAGGGAGGGACUGGAGAACGAAGGAGAGACAAUUUUACCUCUGCU
rnacentral:lncRNA from 1 species